rnacentral:rRNA from 1 species
GUGGGGAAUAUUGGACAAUGGGCGAAAGCCUGAUCCAGCCAUGCCGCGUGUGUGAAGAAGGUCUUCGGAUUGUAAAGCACUUUAAGUUGGGAGGAAGGGCAGUAAGUUAAUACCUUGCUGUUUUGACGUUACCGACAGAAUAAGCACCGGCUAACUUCGUGCCAGCAGCCGCGGUAAUACGAAGGGUGCAAGCGUUAAUCGGAAUUACUGGGCGUAAAGCGCGCGUAAGUGGUUCAGCAAGUUGGAGGUGAAAUCCCCGUGCUCAACCUGGGAACUGCCUCCAAAACUACUGGGCUAGAGUACUGUAGAGGGUAGUGGAAUUUCCUGUGUAGCGGUGAAAUGCGUAGAUAUAGGAAGGAACACCAGUGGCGAAGGCGACUACCUGGACUGAUACUGACACUGAGGUGCGAAAGCGUGGGGAGCAAACAGGAUUAGAAACCCCGGUAGUCC